AGGAAUUCUAAUAAGCUGUCAUCAAUCCUGCAGCUGUAGUGUGCCCAUACUAAAAAUGGAAUAAAAAUUGUAAUAUCAGAGCUAUCUUACAAAUUUUCUGUUCUUGUCUUUCAGAUAAAUUUUUUGUAAAUGGUUAAUCUCAAAUCCAAGAACUUUGAAUCGUUUUUUCACUCAAUUGACUUUCUUUUUUUCCGAAUUUAAUAAUGGUGAUAAAUUGCAAGUACUUACCUGAGCAGCUGAGCACUGCCUUUAGAACUGUGGUUCCUUUCAAUUUAUUCAUUUGAGUUUAAUCCCUUGCCGCUGUUCCAGACCUUAUCCACUAGUGGAAUAUGCAGAGAGAUGUUGAACUUAUUCCAGGUUAACCCUUCGCCCUUGUGCUACAAUUUGAAGAUAUUGACGGCAACAGAAGAGCUUGCUUUCGAUCAAUAUCAAUAAAUUAGGUAGAUGUAGAUAACUUACAAGUGCAUAUCUGCUUUAUCUGGG
rnacentral:lncRNA from 1 species